rnacentral:rRNA from 1 species
ACCAGACUCCUACGGGAGGCAGCAGUGGGGGAUAUUGCACAAUGGGGGGAACCCUGAUGCAGCGACGCCGCGUGGGUGAAGAAGCGCCUCGGCGCGUAAAGCCCUGUCAGCAGGGAAGAAAAUGACGGUACCUGAAGAAGAAGCCCCGGCUAACUACGUGCCAGCAGCCGCGGUAAUACGUAGGGGGCAAGUGUUAUCCGGAUUUACUGGGUGUAAAGGGGGCGCAGACGGCGAUGCAAGCCAGGAGUGAAAGCCCGGGGCCCAACCCCGGGACUGCUCUUGGAACUGCGUGGCUGGAGUGCAGGAGGGGCAGGCGGAAUUCCUGGUGUAGCGGUGAAAUGCGUAGAUAUCAGGAGGAACACCGGUGGCGAAGGCGGCCUGCUGGACUGCGACUGACGUUGAGGCCCGAAAGCGUGGGGAGCAAACAGGAUUAGAUACCCGGGUACC